rnacentral:rRNA from 1 species
UGGGGAAUAUUGCACAAUGGGCGCAAGCCUGAUGCAGCCAUGCCGCGUGUAUGAAGAAGGCCUUCGGGUUGUAAAGUACUUUCAGCGGGGAGGAAGGGAGUAAAGUUAAUACCCUUGCUCAUUGACGUUACCCGCAGAAGAAGCACCGGCUAACUCCGUGCCAGCAGCCGCGGUAAUACGGAGGGUGCAAGCGUUAAUCGGAAUUACUGGGCGUAAAGCGCACGCAGGCGGUCUGUCAAGUCGGAUGUGAAAUCCCCGGGCUCAACCUGGGAACUGCAUUCGAAACUGGCAGGCUAGAGUCUUGUAGAGGGGGGUAGAAUUCCAGGUGUAGCGGUGAAAUGCGUAGAGAUCUGGAGGAAUACCGGUGGCGAAGGCGGCCCCCUGGACAAAGACUGACGCUCAGGUGCGAAAGCGUGGGGAGCAAACAGG